rnacentral:rRNA from 1 species
UNCGAUUGCGAAGGCAGCUUGCUGGACUGUAACUGACGCUGAGGCACGAAAGCGUGGGGAUCAAACAGGAUUAGAUACCCUGGUANNCCACGCCGUAAACGAUGAAUGCUAGCUGUUAGCGAUAUACUGUUAGCGGCACAGAGAAAUCGUUAAGCAUUCCACCUGGGGAGUACGCCGGCAACGGUGAAACUCAAAGGAAUUGACGGGGGCCCGCACAAGCGGAGGAACAUGUGGUUUAAUUCGAUGAUACGCGAGGAACCUUACCUGGGCUUAAAUUGCAGUGGAAUAACGUGGAAACAUGUUAGCCUUCGGGCCGCUGUGAAGGUGCUGCAUGGUUGUCGUCAGCUCGUGCCGUGAGGUGUCGGCUUAAGUGCCAUAACGAGCGCAACCCUCAUCGAUAGUUACUAACAGGUUAAGCUGAGGACUCUAUCGAGACUGCCGACGUAAGUCGUGAGGAAGGUGGGGAUGACGUCAAAUCAGCACGGCCCUUACGUCCAGGGCUACACACGUGUUACAAUGGGGGGUACAAAGGGCAGCUACCUGGCGACAGGAUGCUAAUCUCAAAAACCUCUCUCAGUUCGGAUUGGAGUCUGCAACCCGACUCCAUGAAGCUGGAUUCGCUAGUAAUCGCGCAUCAGCCACGGCGCGGUGAAUACGUUCCCGGGCCUUGUACACACCGCCCGUCAAGCCAUGGGAGCCGGGGGGACCUGAAGUAUGCAACCGUAAGGAGCGUCCUAGGGUAAAACUGGUGACUGGGGCU